ACUCAAAGGAAUAGACGGGGGCUCACACAAGCGGUGGAGCAUGUGGCUUAAUUCGAAGCAACGCGAAGAACCUUAUCCUGGGCUUGACAUGUAUGGAUUAGCAGGCGGAAACGUCUGUGAGGCUCUUUGAGUACAACAUACACAGGUGCUGCAUGGCUGUCGUCAGCUCGUGCUGUGAAGUGUCGGGUUAAGUCCCUUAACGAGCGAAACCCCUGUCGCUAGUUGCCACCAGGUAAUGCUGAGCACUCUAGCGAGACUGCCGGUGUCAAACCGGAGGAAGGUGGGGAUGACGUCAAGUCCUCAUGGCCUUUAUGCCCAGGGCUGCACACGUGCUACAAUGGUGCGGUACAAAGCGAAGCGAGACCGUAAGGUGGAGCAAAUCGCAUAAAACGCACCCCAGUUCAGAUUGAGGUCUGCAACUCGACCUCAUGAAGUUGGAAUCGCUAGUAAUCGCGGAUCAGCUACGCCGCGGUGAAUGUGUUCCUGAGCCUUGUACACACCGCCCGU
rnacentral:rRNA from 1 species